rnacentral:rRNA from 1 species
AUCUUCGGCAAUGGGCGCAAGCCUGACCGAGCGACGCCGCGUGUGCGAUGAAGGCCCUUCGGGUUGUAAAGCACUGUCGAGAGGAAGCAAGCCGCAAGGUUGAGCGACCUCUGGAGGAAGCACGGGCUAAGUUCGUGCCAGCAGCCGCGGUAAGACGAACCGUGCGAACGUUGUUCGGAAUCACUGGGCUUAAAGGGCGCGUAGGCGGGAUGGCAAGUCGGAGGUGAAAGCCCCCAGCUUAACUGGGGAAGUGCCCUCGAUACUGCCGUUCUCGAGAGAGGUAGGGGCGUGUGGAACUUCCGGUGGAGCGGUGAAAUGCGUAGAUAUCGGAAGGAACGCCGGUGGCGAAAGCGAUGCGCUGGACCUUUUCUGACGCUGAGGCGCGAAAGCCAGGGUAGCGAACGGGAUUAGAUACCCCGGUAGUCCUGGCCCUAAACGAUGGGUACUGGGUUGCGGGUCAGACAUGGACUCGCAGCCGAAGCAAAAGUGGUAAGUACCCCGCCUGGGGAGUAUGGUCGCAAGGCUGAAACUCAAAGGAA